AGUAGGUGGGGUAACGGCUCACCUAGGCGACGAUCCCUAGCUGGUCUGAGAGGAUGACCAGCCACACUGGAACUGAGACACGGUCCAGACUCCUACGGGAGGCAGCAGUGGGGAAUAUUGCACAAUGGGCGCAAGCCUGAUGCAGCCAUGCCGCGUGUAUGAAGAAGGCCUUCGGGUUGUAAAGUACUUUCAGCGGGGAGGAAGGGAGUAAAGUUAAUACCUUUGCUCAUUGACGUUACCCGCAGAAGAAGCACCGGCUAACUCCGUGCCAGCAGCCGCGGUAAUACGGAGGGUGCAAGCGUUAAUCGGAAUUACUGGGCGUAAAGCGCACGCAGGCGGUUUGUUAAGUCAGAUGUGAAAUCCCCGGGCUCAACCUGGGAACUGCAUCUGAUACUGGCAAGCUUGAGUCUCGUAGAGGGGGGUAGAAUUCCAGGUGUAGCGGUGAAAUGCGUAGAGAUCUGGAGGAAUACCGGUGGCGAAGGCGGCCCCCUGGACGAAGACUGACGCUCAGGUGCGAAAGCGUGGGGAGCAAACAGGAUUAGAUACCCUGGCAGUCCACGCCGUAAACGAUGUCGACUUGGAGGUUGUGCCCUUGAGGCGUGGCUUCCGGAGCUAACGCGUUAAGUCGACCGCCUGGGGAGUACGGCCGCAAGGUUAAAACUCAAAUGAAUUGACGGGGGCCCGCACAAGCGGUGGAGCAUGUGGUUUAAUUCGAUGCAACGCGAAGAACCUUACCUGGUCUUGACAUCCACGGAAGUUUUCAGAGAUGAGAAUGUGCCUUCGGGAACCGUGAGACAGGUGCUGCAUGGCUGUCGUCAGCUCGUGUUGUGAAAUGUUGGGUUAAGUCCCGCAACGAGCGCAACCCUUAUCCUUUGUUGCCAGCGGUCCGGCCGGGAACUCAAAGGAGACUGCCAGUGAUAAACUGGAGGAAGGUGGGGAUGACGUCAA
rnacentral:rRNA from 1 species